GACGAACGCUGGCGGCGUGCUUAACACAUGCGAGUCGAACGGAAAGGCCCUGCUUUUGUGGGGUGCUCGAGUGGCGAACGGGUGAGUAACACUUGAGUAACCUGCCCUUGACUUUGGGAUAACUUCAGGAAACUGGGGCUAAUACCGGAUAGGAGCUCCUGCCGCUUGGUGGGGCUUGGUAAGUUUCGGCGGGUGGGGAUGGACUCGCGGCUUAUCAGCUCGUUGGUGGGGUAGUGGCUUACCAAGGCUUUGACGGGUAGCCGGCCUGAGAGGGUGACCGGCCACAUUGGGACUGAGGUACGGCCCAGACUGCAACGGGAGGCAGCGGUGGAGAAUAUUGCGCAAUGGGCGGAGGCCUGAUGCAGCAACGCCGCGUGCUGGAUGACUGCCUUCGGGUUGUAAACCGCUUUCGCCUGUGACGAAGCGUGAGUGACGGUAAUGGGUAAAGAAGCACCGGCUAACUACGUG
rnacentral:rRNA from 1 species